rnacentral:rRNA from 1 species
UACGUAGGGGGCAAGCGUUAUCCGGAUUUACUGGGUGUAAAGGGAGCGUAGACGGCAAGGCAAGCCAGAAGUGAAAGGGCAGGGCUCAACCCUGUACAUGCUUUUGGAACUGUGGUGCUAGAGUGCAGGAGAGGUAAGUGGAAUUCCUAGUGUAGCGGUGAAAUGCGUAGAUAUUAGGAGGAACACCAGUGGCGAAGGCGGCUUACUGGACUGUAACUGACGUUGAGGCUCGAAAGCGUGGGGAGCAAACAGG